rnacentral:rRNA from 1 species
GUGUCAGCAGCCGCGGUAAGACAGAGGCCCCGAGCGUUAGGCGGAAUCACUGGGCUUAAAGCGUGUGUAGGCGGGCCCGUAAGUGUCUUGUGAAAUCCCACGGCUCAACCGUGGAACUGCUGGGCAUACUGCGGGUCUUGGGCCAACUAGGGGCAGCCGGAACAAGCGGUGGAGCGGUGAAAUGCGUAGAUAUCGCUUGGAACGCCGAAGGUGAAAACAGGCUGCUGGGGUUGCGCCGACGCUGAGACACGAAAGCCAGGGGAGCAAACGGGAUUAGAUACCCCCGUAGUCC